rnacentral:rRNA from 1 species
AACGAACGAGGGAGGGAGGAGGAACAAAGGCAAGUCGAACGAGACCUUCGGGUCUAGUGGCGCACGGGUGCGUAACGCGUGGGAACCUGCCCUUAGGUUCGGAAUAACUCCCCGAAAGGGGUGCUAAUACCGGAUCAUGUCUUCGGACCAAAGAUUUAUCGCCUUUGGAUGGGCCCGCGUUGGAUUAGCUAGUUGGUAGGGUAAAAGCCUACCAAGGCGACGAUCCAUAGCUGGUCUGAGAGGAUGAUCAGCCACACUGGGACUGAGACACGGCCCAGACUCCUACGGGAGGCAGCAGUGGGGAAUAUUGGACAAUGGGCGAAAGCCUGAUCCAGCAAUGCCGCGUGAGUGAUGAAGGCCUUAGGGUUGUAAAGCUCUUUUACCCGGGAUGAUAAUGACAGUACCGGGAGAAUAAGCUCCGGCUAACUCCGUG